GUGCUUACUUCAGCAGCACAUUUACUAAAACUGGAAUGACACAUGGAAAGAUCAGAGAUUAGCAUGGCCCCUGUGAAGGAUGGCUACACAAAUCUGGGAAACAUUCCACACCUUU
rnacentral:snRNA from 1 species